rnacentral:Y_RNA from 1 species
UGCUGGUCCGAUGGUAGUGGGUUAUCAGAACUUAUUAACAUUAGUGUUACUAAAGUUGGUAUACAACCCCCCACUGCUAAAUUUGACUGGCUUAA